rnacentral:rRNA from 1 species
AUUGAACGCUGGCGGCAGGCUUAACACAUGCAAGUCGAGCGGGGAAAUGUAGCUUGCUACAUUACCUAGCGGCGGACGGGUGAGUAAUGCUUAGGAAUCUGCCUAUUAGUGGGGGACAACAUUCCGAAAGGAAUGCUAAUACCGCAUACGUCCUACGGGAGAAAGCAGGGGACCUUCGGGCCUUGCGCUAAUAGAUGAGCCUAAGUCGGAUUAGCUAGUUGGUGGGGUAAAGGCCUACCAAGGCGACGAUCUGUAGCGGGUCUGAGAGGAUGAUCCGCCACACUGGGACUGAGACACGGCCCAGAAUCCUACGGGAGGCAGCAGUGGGGAAUAUUGGACAAUGGGCGGAAGCCUGAUCUAGCCAUGCCGCGUGUGUGAAGAAGGCCUUUUGGUUGUAAAGCACUUUAAGCGAGGAGGAGGCUACUAGUAUUAAUACUACUGGAUAGUGGACGUUACUCGCAGAAUAAGCACCGGCUAACUCUGUGCCAGCCGCCGCAGUAAAAC